GAAGAAGUUGAAGCCACUGAGAUCCUAGUUAAGCUGAGCUCUAACUCACCUUGGAUUUCCUAAAUAAGAGAAAGAAUAUGCCUAGAGAUCAUAUAUGCCUCAUAUAUAAACAAAUUGAUUUGGGGGUACCCUUCCAUGAUACAGAUUACAACUCUUUCAUACCUGCUUAUCCACUGUAAUUUUUAUCUGUGUCUUUUGAGUAUGAAACAACGUAACCCAGGGCACAAGUCCAUUUACACAAGACUCUUUUCAUCAGUUGAGAAUGACUACUGGAUGCUUCAUGCCUAUGUGAGGGACAGAACUGGCUGUCACAGAAGAUUUGUGAGGUGAUCAAAGAAGUCCUACCAGAAGUCUUGGAUUCUGUCAUUUAAUGUGUUGGCUGAAUCUCAGGAAUUUAUGUCAUUUUUCACAUUUGAUAAAUAAGCUAUUUUCAUCCUAACCAUUGAUAAAA
rnacentral:lncRNA from 1 species